ensembl:lncRNA
GUGGGGAGGGUGAUUCAACUCUGUUUACUUUCUCCCGCUGCCAGUCAGAACGGCCUUUCGGUGGAGAGGUGCGUCUAGAACUGAGGCGCGCGGCCAAUCCGACUGUUCCGUUUCGAUGCCUCGUGCUACCCCUACAGCCUCGAACGCUGACAUUUAAAAGGGUAACAGCCGGGAGGCUGGAAAGGAGCAGCCGGACGUCUUUGGGAGUGCCCCUCAAUCCCUUAGCCGGUCCAGGCCUCCUGGCUCACGUUCCAGCUGGCGGAGUUGUAGGAUACACCUUCCUACUCAGCUGCGUUCUUUCUUAUGACAAAAAGAUAACGUCCGUUUCGGUUUUCCAGCUCGCAAACAGUUAAGUGACUUCCUGCAAACGCUACAGUCCCAGCAACCAGCCUUCCAAUCAAAAGGAGCACAGCACAAUGGCUGGUACAUGUCCAAUAACUACUGCUGACCGGUAUCUACUGAGAUAAGAGAGCAGCCCAGCCUGUUGUGCAGAGUACAGAAUGUUCUCUACUGUGAACUAAGCUUGAACUUUUCCAACCCACUUUGUUUGAGGAACCAUACAGACACAGAGGGGAAAAAACAGGGAAGAUA